GAGCAGUAACAAAUACUUCAUUGAAUAUGAAAGAUUACAUUCAAGAAACAAAAGAAUCUUUAUUGAGAGAAGAGAUUCAACUAUCGGGUAUGUUUUACACAAUUCAAAUGGGACAUACAAAAAUCUACAACACAAUAAACUUCAGUUUCUCAUCUAAUCUUCAAAAUCUUCUGUUUUCUUGAGUCCAGCUUCAUGUUGGUAACGUCCUACUUCAUUUCUUGCAAGUGAUUCUUCCUGCAAAUAGAGCUUCAAAUGUAUCCGAAUCAAUUCUAUGAUUAACGAUUAGAACAGGACAAACAUUAAAGGUAUAUAAUAAUAACCAGUUGUAGACAAUUUUACUAAACAGUUAAUCAAGGUUUGCCUCAGAAAUAAGUGAUACUCAUCACUGAAAAUCUGAUAAUACGUGCAAUUGUUAAGGCACAUCAUUGGCAGAACCAACAACCCAAUUUUUUUUUUUAAUCACUAAUGAGUAUUAAAACAAAACAAAACAACAAACAAAAUUGUUAUCAAAAAAAAAAAAAAAAAAAAACAACAACCAAAUAAAAACUGAACAACACUAGAUCAAAGUUGAUAAUAUUUAAAAUAGACAUGUGCAUCAGAGAGAUUCCCAUCUAGACAUUAGUCAUCAUUCUCAUCUCCUAACUAGGAGACUCUGAUGUCCCUGUCUUUUCAUCAUCACUUGCGUUAAUCAGACAACCAAAUCAAAGCAGAAACUAGAAGAGCUACGAAAACCAAAUCAUUAAUAAGCUCAGAGAGUCCAGAGUAAAACAAGAGAAAUCAGAUGUGUAAAGAGAAGGAAAAAAAAUGCCUCAGAGUUGAUUUUUUUUCCUAGAGAGUAGAGACGCAUCUCUCAAAGUAUAUUUAACACCAUCACAGGCAUCAAAAUCACACAAAACCAAAAAUUCAGAUAAACAAUAACAUCCAAGAAACUUGCAAAAGAUCGAAUCUCAAACCAUAAACAUUGGUCAAUUCUAGGGUUGAUCGAGAAAGUGUUAAAUAGACGAAUUGCAGGAAUAGAGGCGGAGCUAAUUAGG
rnacentral:lncRNA from 1 species